UUGUACUUGUUUCUCCUUCUUCUUUUUAAACUUUAAUCCUAUCAAAUCCCUUUUCAUUCACGCAUACAGCUUGGACCAAACUGGACAUAAGACUAUUAGGACAUACUUAUCUUGAACAUUGUCCUGGUGGACAGACACUAUCAGAUUGGAGACUCUAACUGUGCUUUAAUUGGAAUUACUGAGAAGAUGUCGUCAGUAUUAUAGACCUCAGAACCCUGCUUUGUCUAAUACCUCCUUCUCCUAGAUUUGCCUGCAGGCUGUAAGAUUAUCUUAGUCUUAUUCACACAUUUACUCAGAUCCCAUGGCACAUGCAGACAGUGUCAUUGACUUUAUUACACUGGCUGAAAAACAGAUGAAUAAUCAGCUCUCGUUUGUUAUGAUCCAGUGUUGUGUUUGUUUUGUGUUACUCCUCCCACCAGAGGAUGGCUGUGGGUUUUUGUUUUCCUCUUUCUCUCUUAGGAGGUGGACACCUGGGCGUGCCUGCUGGGGAUCUGGGUGGAGUCUCGGCCUAUCCUCGGAUUGGAUAAUUGACUAAUAACCUCCGAUUUUAACUACCAGAUGACAGCCACCUGGCCCCCUCUCUCCUAACCUCCACCAUUCAACCAAGAAUCUGUGUGUUGAUUCGUUGCAGUAUAGAGUUUGGUUGACAAAGUGAUUAGCCAGUAUAACCUAGUGUGUGUGUGUGUGUGUGUCUGGCGUUAUUAUGUCAAAUUUGUAAAUAGCUGUAAAUAGAUUUGUCAAGUACCAGUCGUACAUUUUGUUCACCUUGUAUAUAUCCUUCACUGCAGCAGCCUAGUAGGCGUGAGAAGCCAUUUUUGUUGAUUACGUUUUCUCCUGUUUUUCGUUUAGGAAGUUAGGGUCCACAGGUGGCUUCUGUGGAUUUACUCAGUGAUGUCAUCGUGUUAUCUCCAGCCAGAGGAGAAAAGAUGGAUUUCAACCUUCCGUUGAUGGAUGAUGUUGACAGCAUCUGUUGGCCCAGUGAUCUGCAAGACUCGAUGCACAUCAUCCAGCCCAUCUCCAUAACCCCUGUCCCGGGGCCAAUCUCAUGAAAAUUGCAACAUGCAAGCUGCGACUCGCAAGAGAUCAUCUUCUCUCUUGCUAAUUUUGGCACUUUAGCUCAUCAUCGAAAAACAACAUGAUUGCAACCCAUGCAUGAGAGAUUAGGGAAAGUGGGUGCUGGCACCGUUUGUGAUCCUUGUCUAAGUGGUGCUCACAAAUCACUUUUGCAAAUCAAAAGGGAGAGGGGUCCCAAAUCUAUUAGAGAUGAAACUGUGAUUUAAUGACAGUGGUAUAAUCAUUUUACAGUUUUCCACAAAAGAGACAGAAUGCAGAGAAAGGAAAUAAAAACUAAAUAAAGUUACCUUCCACUUUGUUAUGUACACUUGUUUAGCUUCUCAUUAACAGAAACAUCAGCCAAGCAGCUCGAUGCAUUUUAAUAUGUAGACUCGGUCAAGAUGAUCCGCUGAAGUUCAAUCUGAGCAUCAGAUAAUUUACAUGACUUUGAAUACAGGAUAAUGGUUCAUGUCACACAAGCUGGUCUGAGUAUUUCGGAAACUGCUGAUCUGCUGGGCUUUUCCCGC
ensembl:lncRNA